GACGAACGCUGGCGGCGUGCUUAACACAUGCAAGUCGAACGCUGAAGCUCAGCUUUUGUUGGGUGGAUGAGUGGCGAACGGGUGAGUAACACGUGAGUAACCUGCCCCCUUCUUUGGGAUAACGCCCGGAAACGGGUGCUAAUACUGGAUAUUCACUGGUCUUCGCAUGGGGGUUGGUGGAAAGGGUUUUUCUGGUGGGGGAUGGGCUCGCGGCCUAUCAGCUUGUUGGUGGGGUGAUGGCCUACCAAGGCUUUGACGGGUAGCCGGCCUGAGAGGGUGACCGGUCACAUUGGGACUGAGAUCCGGCCCAGACUCCUACGGGAGGCAGCAGUGGGGAAUAUUGCACAAUGGGCGCAAGCCUGAUGCAGCGACGCCGCGUGAGGGAUGGAGGCCUUCGGGUUGUGAACCUCUUUCGCUCAUGGUCAAGCCGCAACAAUGGUUGUGGUGAGGGUAGUGGGUAAAGAAGCGCCGGCUAACUACGUG
rnacentral:rRNA from 1 species